rnacentral:rRNA from 1 species
UACGUAGGCAGCAAGCGUUGUUCGGAGUUACUGGGCGUAAAGGGUGCGUAGGUGGCUCUAUAAGUAUGGUGUGAAAUCUCCCGCUUAACUGGGAGGGUGCGCCGUAGACUGUGGGGCUAGAGUGUGGGAGAGGAAAGUGGAAUUCCUGGUGUAGCGGUGAAAUGCGUAGAUAUCAGGAGGAACACCGGUGGUGUAAACGACUUUCUGGACCAUAAACUGACACUGGAGGCACGAAAGCCGUGGGUAGCAAACAGG